rnacentral:rRNA from 1 species
CCUACGGGUGGCUGCAGUGGGGAAUAUUGGGCAAUGGGCGCAAGCCUGACCCAGCAACGCCGCGUGAAGGAAGAAUGCUUUCGGGUUGUAAACUUCUUUUAAGAGGGAAGUGCAGAAGACGGUACCUCUUGAAUAAGCCACGGCUAAUUACGUGCCAGCAGCCGCGGUAAUACGGAGGUGGCAAGCGUUAUCCGGAUUUACUGGGUGUAAAGGGCGUGCAGCCGGGAAGGCAAGUCAGAUGUGAAAUCCCGCGGCUCAACCGCGGAACUGCACUUGAUACUGUUUUUCUUGAGUACCGGGGAGGUCAUCGGAAUUCCUGGUGUAGCGGUGAAAUGCGUAGAUAUAAGGAAGAACACCGGUGGCGAAGGCGGAUGACUGGACGGCAAAUGACGGUGAGGCGCGAAAGCGUGGGGAGCAAACAGGAUUAGAUACCCGAGUAGUC